rnacentral:RNase_P_RNA from 1 species
GAAGUGGCUCGGGUGGUCGCGGCUAGUUGCAAAACGAGCCGAGGAAAGUCCGGGCUGCAUAGAGUAGAAUGCUGGAUAACGUCCAGUGGGGGCAACCCUAGGAAAGUGCCACAGAAAACAGACCGCCACUUGGAAACAUGUGGUAAGGGUGAAAUGGCGCGGUAAGAGCGCACCGCUUGGAUUGGCAACAAACCAAGGCAUAGGUAAACCCCAUUCGCAGCAAGACCAAAUAGGGAGUCGUUAAGCGUUACUCGCGCGUGGCUUCGGGUAGGUUGCUUGAGGCUGCUGGUAACAGCAUGUCCAGAUGAAUGAUCAUCGCUGACUUGGCCAUUGGUUGAGUGAGUACAGAACCCGGCUUAUAGAGCCACUUCGCAA